GAUGAACGCUGGCGGCGUGCCUAAUACAUGCAAGUCGAGCGAACAGAUGAGGAGCUUGCUCCUCUGACGUUAGCGGCGGACGGGUGAGUAACACGUGGAUAACCUACCUAUAAGACUGGGAUAACUUCGGGAAACCGGAGCUAAUACCGGAUAAUAUAUUGAACCGCAUGGUUCAAUAGUGAAAGACGGUUUUGCUGUCACUUAUAGAUGGAUCCGCGCCGCAUUAGCUAGUUGGUAAGGUAACGGCUUACCAAGGCAACGAUGCGUAGCCGACCUGAGAGGGGGGGCGGCCAAACUGGAAAGGAGACCCGGUCCAGAACCCGCCGGGGGGCAGCAGUGGGGAAUUUUCCGGAAGGGGGGAAAGCCUAAAGAAGCAACGCCGGGGGAGGAAUAAAGGUCUUGGUAUCGUAAAACUCUGUUAUUGGGGAAAAACAAAUGGGAAAGUAAAUAUACACGCCUUGAGGGUACCUAAUCAAAAGGCCACGGCUAACUACGG
rnacentral:rRNA from 1 species